rfam:Listeria monocytogenes EGD-e, complete genome
AUGAAAAGGAGUGUUAUCUUAAGCCAAUGAAAUUCUAAUCCUGUAUUAUAUGAAAAAAUGAAGAAAGCUAUCCACUUCUCGGAUAGAAACUAUUUUUUCGGACGGGAUUCGUAUGUUCAUUUCGCAUGAUAACUCUUGCUAUAGGCCUUUUUGGCGUAGCCCCGCGGAUUCCU